AAACAGAGAGUACGGUGGUAACGGAGAGGUUUUAACAUCGUCGCGAGGUUUGAGGAUUUUGAAUCCUUUGGUUCCAUGGCGAGAAGAGAAUAAACAGAGGAAGGUUCGGUGACAUCUGUAGAUUGAUUUGUUGAUGGUUGCGAUGACGGUUGUUGCCACCGGCGUAGGUGAACAUCCGAUCUGAGUUUUCCGGUGACGGCGGAGGUAGUUGCGUUGGUGACGGUUGAUUGAUUUCGUCGCUUUCUUGAUUAUGAGUUUCGUCGCCAUUGAAGAAGAAUGAAACAGAGAGAUGAGAGAUUGUGAUGAGAUUUUGAGGGGAGAGAGUGUGAAGGUAUUUAAAUUAGGUUCGGUGUAACGGUCAUGUUGGUUUAUUUUAGGUUCGGGAAUCCGAAGCAAAAGCUAGAUUCGGAUGCAGUGUUUUUUUUUUUUUUU
rnacentral:lncRNA from 1 species